GGGCCCGUGGGUUAGCCUGGCCUAUGCUUGGGCGUUUGGGACGCUUAGACUCCGGUUCAAAUCCGGACGGGCCCA
rnacentral:tRNA from 4 species